GCUCUGUUGAAUCCACUGGAGAUUGUUCUGAUACUAAGGACAAGUAUCAAACAUCUUUCCUGUGAAAAAUUCCCUCUCCUAGUACUUUAGUUCUGUGGAUCCAAAAUUUAUAGCAUUCUUCUACCACCACAGGGGCUCAUAUGACAUUAACAGACAAGACACUUUUCAGAAAGACAGGUUGUUCUUUUGGGCCACAUCUAAGAAAUCUUUGUCUAGCCAAAAGCCACAAAUAAUUUCUCAUUUUUUGGCUUCUGGAAGAUGUACAGUUAAAUGUUAUAUUUGGGACUGUUAUCUAAUUUGGUUAAAUUGCACUCUACAAUAUGGUAUUUGAAUUGAUGAAAAAUUAGUAAAUGUUAAUAUUUUUUAAAGUAGCCAAAUCUUGCAAUUUAUAUAUAAUAGAGAAGACUAGAAAAUCCCCCA
rnacentral:lncRNA from 1 species